UACAUAGGGUGCAAGCGUUAAUCGGAAUUACUGGGCGUAAAGCGUGCGCAGGCGGUUUUGUAAGUCUGUCGUGAAAGCCCCGGGCUCAACCUGGGAAUUGCGAUGGAGACUGCAAGGCUUGAAUCUGGCAGAGGGGGGUAGAAUUCCACGUGUAGCAGUGAAAUGCGUAGAGAUGUGGAGGAACACCGAUGGCGAAGGCAGCCCCCUGGGUCAAGAUUGACGCUCAUGCACGAAAGCGUGGGGAGCAAACCGG
rnacentral:rRNA from 1 species